rnacentral:rRNA from 1 species
CAGUGGGGAAUAUUGGACAAUGGGCGCAAGCCUGAUCCAGCCAUGCCGCGUGAGUGAUGAAGGCCUUAGGGUUGUAAAGCUCUUUCACCGGAGAAGAUAAUGACGGUAUCCGGAGAAGAAGCCCCGGCUAACUUCGUGCCAGCAGCCGCGGUAAUACGAAGGGGGCUAGCGUUGUUCGGAAUUACUGGGCGUAAAGCGCACGUAGGCGGACAUUUAAGUCAGGGGUGAAAUCCCGGGGCUCAACCUCGGAACUGCCUUUGAUACUGGGUGUCUUGAGUGUGGAAGAGGUCAGUGGAAUUGCGAGUGUAGAGGUGAAAUUCGUAGAUAUUCGCAGGAACACCAGUGGCGAAGGCGGCUGACUGGUCCACAACUGACGCUGAGGUGCGAAAGCGUGGGGAGCAAACAGGAUUAGA